rnacentral:rRNA from 1 species
UACGGAGGGUGCAAGCGUUAUCCGGAUUUACUGGGUUUAAAGGGUGCGUAGGUGGGUCUGUAAGUCAGUGGUGAAAUCUUCAAGCUUAACUUGGAAACUGCCAUUGAUACUAUAGGUCUUGAAUUAUCUGGAGGUGAGCGGAAUAUGUCAUGUAGCGGUGAAAUGCUUAGAUAUGACAUAGAACACCAAUUGCGAAGGCAGCUCACUACGGAUUUAUUGACACUGAGGCACGAAAGCGUGGGGAUCAAACAGG